GACGAACGCUGGCGGCGUGCUUAACACAUGCAAGUCGAACGGUCAAGCGCCUUCCUUUUUGGUGGGUGUGGAUGAGUGGCCAACGGGUUAGUAACACGUUAGUAACCUUCCCCCUUUUUCUUGAUAACCGCAUGAAAGUGUUGCUAAUACGGGAUAUUCUGGUUCUGUCGCAUGAUUGGUCUGGGAAGGUUUUUGUUUCUGUUUGGGAUGGGUUCGCGCCCUAUUAGCUUGUUGGUGAGGUGAGGGCCUACCAAGGCGGCGAUGGGUAGCCGACCUGAUAGGGGGGUCGGCGACAACACAAGGGAUGCGCGGAGGCGAAGACUACGAGAGGAAGCAGUAGUGAGGAAUACUGAACGAUGGGAAGAAGGCUGAAGCAGCGACGCCGCGUGAGGGAUGGAGGCCUUAGGGUUAUGAACCUCUUUCGGGAAUGAAGAAGGGCUGCAUCGUUUGUGGGUGGGUUGACGGUAGCUGGAUAAGAAGCGCCGGCUAACUACGUG
rnacentral:rRNA from 1 species